AUCCCAAAGGAGGGAAAGGAAACGCUCCAAGUAAACCUGGAAAAAAAGGAAAGGAAAAGACAAGGUCUCGCAACCAAAUCUUGGGUUCGGAAGUCGAUUAUGCGAAGGGAAGGUGUUAGCACCCCUACGCAUCCGUAGUACUCUACGGGAUCCACUCUUGUUGUUCUUGUCUAAAGGGUGUGGGUUUAUCUAAUGUACUAUUUGCUAAAAGAGGGGGUCAAAAG
rnacentral:lncRNA from 1 species